rnacentral:rRNA from 1 species
GAGACAGCAGUCGCCACGGAAUACGGAGGGUGCAAGCGUUAAUCGGAAUUACUGGGCGUAAAGCGCACGCAGGCGGUCUGUCAAGUCAGAUGUGAAAUCCCCGGGCUUAACCUGGGAACUGCAUUUGAAACUGGCAGGCUAGAGUCUUGUAGAGGGGGGUAGAAUUCCAGGUGUAGCGGUGAAAUGCGUAGAGAUCUGGAGGAAUACCGGUGGCGAAGGCGGCCCCCUGGACAAAGACUGACGCUCAGGUGCGAAAGCGUGGGGAGCAAACAGGAUUAGAUACCCCGGUAGUCCCUGUCUCUUAUACA